rnacentral:rRNA from 1 species
CCCUUAGACGUUCUGGGCCGCACGCGCGCUACACUGACCAGUGCAACAAGCAUCCGUCCUUGGCCGACAGGCCCGGGCAAUCUUUGAACGCUGGUCGUGAUGGGGAUAGACUUUUGCAAUUUUUGGUCUUCAACGAGGAAUUCCUAGUAAACGCAAGUCAUCAGCUUGCAUUGAUUACGUCCCUGCCCUUUGUACACACCGCCCGUCGCUCCUACCGAUUGAAUGGUCCGGUGAAGCGUUCGGACCGUGGCCUUUGGACGGUUCGCCGUCUGUUGGCUGCGGGAAGUUCGUUAAACCUUAUCAUUUAGAGGAAGGAGAAGUCGUAACA